CUCGUUUGCUGGCUCUAACUUCAGUAUCAGCUUGGUCCAAACGGCGUCAAGGGUUUUGAGAUCAAAAGAGGUCUCUGCCAAAUCCCUUUUGAUGUGCUCAGUCAGGAUUGGCCUUACUUGAUGCUAAAUCAGAACCGUAAAAACGACGAAGACAUGAGGAGAUUUGGUUUUCACCUUGUCCCAUUCCAAAACCUGUUAUUUCUUGAGCCAACUAAAUUAGAGGCAGGAGCAAUGAUCUUGUAUUGCUGUUAAUUUCUGAU